GCACUAAUGGGGUAGUGGUAACCUGGGUCGUUGCCAUUCCGAUGUUUGUGUCGACCCGCUGGGGGUUCGAUUCCCCCUUAGUGCA